GUGGGGACUAUGUCUUGCUGUCUAAUAUCUAUGCAUCGAGGGAUGAAUGGGAUGGUGUUGAAAGGGUGAGGAAGUUGAUGGAUGACAAUGGGGUUUGGAAAGAACCUGGUUGUACUUUAAUUGAGGCUGAUGAUUAUGAUCUCAAGAAUUUUUAUUUCGAUUCCAAGUGUAAACACUCUUGAGAAUAAAGCUAGCAGGCACAAGCAGAGAAGUGAGCAACCAAGCUUAAUGCCAAACUUGG
rnacentral:misc_RNA from 1 species